UACGAAGGGGGCUAGCGUUGUUCGGAAUUACUGGGCGUAAAGCGUGCGCAGGCGGUUGUGCAAGACAGAGGUGAAAUCCCCGGGCUUAACCUGGGAAUGGCCUUUGUGACUGCACGGCUAGAGUGUGUCAGAGGGGGGUAGAAUUCCACGUGUAGCAGUGAAAUGCGUAGAGAUGUGGAGGAAUACCGAUGGCGAAGGCAGCCCCCUGGGAUAACACUGACGCUCAUGCACGAAAGCGUGGGGAGCAAACAGG
rnacentral:rRNA from 1 species